AAGGGCACCACAAGAACGCGUGGAGCAUGUGGCUUAAUUUGACUCAACGCGGGAAAUCUUACCGGGUCCGGACACACUGAGGAUUGACAGGCGUUUGUGGUUUGAUGUUCAGCACGCUUUUGGGUGUGAUCUGUUCUCUUUCCACUAUAAAUAUGCUAGUCCUUUCAUGAUUGUGUGAUAGGUGGUGCAUGGCCGUUCUUAGUUCGUGGAGUGAUCUGUCUGCUUAAUUGCGUUUCACAAAGUACUCUUUAACUUUUGCCUGUUGCGCGGCAUUGGGCUCUCUGAGUCGGUGUCUGUGCACGGCAGAGAAAAAGUUCUGAAGGCAACGAACGUGACCGCAACCUCUUGUUGCCUCCUUUUUUAAUAAACAUGAGUGUGUUUCACUCCACUUCAUUGUGGGUGUGCAUUUCUCUGCAUGGAGUGCUAACUAGAGGGACCGCUGACAACUUUUAAAACAGAGGAAGGUUGCGGCAAUAACAGGUCUGUGAUGCCCUUAGAUGUUCCGGGCUGCACACGUGCUACAAUGAUUAUUGCAGUGAGCAUCUAACUAAAAAAAGCUCGAGUUUGUGUUUAGUCGCUCUCUGAGUUGACUUUAAAUAACUCGGCUACCGACCUGCUUCGAAAGUAAGCAGGUAAUCAAUUCGAAGUAAUGAUUUCCUUUCGCACAUACUUAUAUCUCCUGUUUGCUGGCUCACUGCGCUUGUCGUAUGUGUUGUCUCAGCCUUGAGAUAUGUGCUCCAUUAAUUCAUGGUGGGGACAGACCAUUGUUAAUUGUUGGUCUCGGUCUCAACUAGGAAUGCCUUGUACGGGUCUUUGGUUCAACAAACCACCCGGAAUAUGUCCCUGCCCUUUGUACACACCNCCCGUCGCUCUUACCGAUGGMCUUCCCUAUGAGUUUGGAGGACUGGCUUUCUAUUUCUAUAGACAGCUACUGGAAAUCUAAACGAAUAGUGUGGUCUAAAGGAAAGAGAAGUGGUAACAAGGCA
rnacentral:rRNA from 1 species